GCGGCGGGCUGUUCGAGCUUCUGCCCCAUCAGCUAGACGGUAGUUUACAGGACUACCGUGGCUGCCACGGGUUCUGGGAGGCGCCUCGUGCACACCCUCAAAACUGCGGAUGGCUCAUUACAUCAGUGGCAAUCUACACAGCUAGAUGGAGGCCGUGCCCGUUGCCCUUCGGGGUGGCGAUCAGCACGGUCUCCAACCGAUAGAUGGAUAACUGUGGUAACUCCAUAGCUAAUACAUGACGCGAAGUCCCGUGCCAGAGGACACGGGCCUAGUGUGUUUCGAGCCGGGCGGCGGGCUGUUCGAGCUUCUGCCCCAUCAGCUAGACGGUAGUUUACAGGACUACCGUGGCUGCCACGGGUAACGGGGAAUUAGGGUUCGAUUCCGGAGAGGGAGCCUGAGAGAUGGCUACCACUUCCAAGGAAGGCAGCAGGCGCGCAAAUUACCCAAUUCCAACUCGGAGAGGUAGUGACAACGCGUAUCGGCACAGUGCAUUCUAUGUACUGCGACCGGAAUGGACCAAAUUCAAACCCAUUGGUGAGUAACGAUUGGAGGAAAAGUCUGGUGCCAGCACCCGCGGUAAUUCCAGCUCCAAUAGUGUAUAUUAAAGUUGUUGCAGUUAAAAAGCUCGUAGUCAGGUUUCAGGGAGGCGCGUGACGCGUGCCGCACAACCCGAGCUCCGCUCGGGGCGGUGCGUGACACCCCGCCACCCAGGUAUCGUCCUCCUCUUGCCAUGAGGGUCCCACUUGUCGGUUGAGCAUUUCACGGGGAUUAGUGGCGGCUUCGGUCGCAACUGUCUCCGGGGGCCCAACCCGGGUGGUGAUCGGUGAGGGGAUCAAGGGCGGUGCCUAAUUCCUCCAAGAUGCGCUUCGUGGGCUUGCUCACGGGGUGCCUCCCUUGGGGGAACUGUCACUGUGAGAAAAUCAGGGUGUUCAAAGCAGACGGCUAGUUCUGUCUGAACGGUAAAGCAUGGGAUGACAUCGUAAGACCUCCAGCUCUUGCGUGGGCUGAUGGCGUCGGCCUUGUGUCGGCGUCUAGGCUCACGCGCUUUUUCCCACGGGGCACGGUUUACAUGGGCUUUCCUUACGGGGAGAGCUGGAGGGCGCGACCAAUAGGGAUGGUUGGGGCCAUUCAUAUUCCCACGUUAGAGGUGAAAUUCUUGGAUCGUGGGAGGAUGAACUUCUGCGAAAGCAUUUGGCACGGACGUUCCCAUUGAUCAAGAACGAAAGUCAGGGGAUCGAAGACGAUCAGAUACCGUCGUAGUCCUGACCAUAAACGAUGCCGACCAGGGAUCAGGGCGCGUUUUUUCUACAAGACCGCCUUGGCACCUUGCGGGAAACCAGAGUCUUUGGGUUCCGGGGGGAGUAUGGUCGCAAGGCUGAAACUUAAAGGAAUUGACGGAAGGGCACACCAGGAGUGGAGCCUGCGGCUUAAUUUGAC
rnacentral:rRNA from 1 species